ensembl:lncRNA
GUCUCUGCUUUUGAAUAUGCUAUGUAGGUUGGUCAUAACUUUCCUUCCAAGGAGUAAGCGUCUUUUAAUUUCAUGGCUGCAAUCACCAUCUGCAGUGAUUUUGGAGCCCCUCAAAAUAAAGUCUGACACUGUUUCUACUGUUUCCCCAUCUAUUCCCCAAGAAGUGAUGGGACCAGAUGCCAUAAUCUUCAUUUUCUGAAUGUUGAGCUUUAGGCCAACUUUUUCACUCUCCUCUUUAGUUUUCAAACAAAGAAACCUGCUUUAACCCAGGCUUCCCGUCUUAUAAACAGAGAAGUCUGGGACUCUAACCUGAUCUCUUUUGACUGGGAUUCUGACUCAGCUUGUAAAGUAUAUUCAGAAUCUUAAGUCAAAAUUUAUCAUUAUCAGCUUCGACAGACUUCUUUUUUUUUUUGAGCACUGGAUCAGGAGUUGGACUCACCAAUGGAUUCCCAAUCAGUAAGUCAGGAGUGAAGACAAAGACUUCAAAACUGUGCACCUGGGGUCCUGAUAUCAUUCAUCUUCAGUUCAGUUCAGUUCAGUUGCUCAGUCGUGUCCGACUCUUUGCGACCCCAUGAAUCGCAGCACGCCAGGCCUCCCUGUCCAUCACCAGCUCCCGGAGUUCACCCAGACUCACGUCCAUCAAGUCAGUGAUGCCAUCCAGCCAUCUCAUCCUCUGUCAUCCCCUUCUCCUCCUGCCCCCAAUCCCUCCCAGCAGCAGAGUCUUUUCCAAUGAGUCAACUCUUCGCAUGAGGUGGCCAGAGUACUGGAGUUUUCAGCUUUAGCAUCAUUCCUUCCAAAGAAAUCCCAGGGCUGACCUCCUUCAGAAUGAACUGGUUGGACCUCCUUGCAGUCCAAGAGACUCUCAAGAGUCUUCUCCAACACCACAGUUCAAAAGCAUCAAUUCUUUGGUGCUCAGCCUUCUUCACAGUCCAACUCUCACAUCCAUACAUGACCACAGGAAAAACCAUAGCCUUGACUAGAUGAACCUUUGUUGGCAAAGUAAUGUCUCUGCUUUUGAACAUGCUAUCUAGGUUGGUCAUAACUUUCCUUCCAAGGAGUAAGCGUUUUUUAAUUUCAUGGCUGAAGUCACCAUCUGCAGUGAUUUUGGAGCCCCCCCAAAUAAAUCUGACACUGUUUCCACAGUUUCCCCAUCUAUUUCCCAUGAAGUGAUGGGACCGGAUGCCAUGAUCUUCAUUUUCUGAAUGUUGAGCUUUAAGCCAACUUUUUCACUCUUCUCUUUCACUUUCAUCAACAGUAGUGAAAUAAAGUAUAUAUGCUCCAAUCAAUAAUGAAUCCUUGGUUGCACAAGUGUUUCCAUAUGACCCUGAAAGGAUAUGUUGCCACAUUUUAUGCCUUAUUUAGAAAUUUUAAAUAUUUUAAAAAAUGGUUUCCAUCUAACAUAACAAACAGAUACUAUUUGUAUGUCCAAGGAGCCAGGAGAGAGUGUAGAUGACACAGUGGAAUCCACCUUAUGCCGGGGAAGGAAGCACUGGUUUGACGCCCAUGAGCGUGGAGCAUCCUUAAAUAACAGCCUAAUCACUUUUUUCUAUUAAAAUCUCUUCAUGUAACUCAAUCUCUGUCAAAUCCUAUUUAAAAAAGGAUUUGACAGGCUGCUUAAAAAAAAAACAUAAUCGAAGCACACUGGUCAAAGCGUGCCCUCUUUUCCCUUUAUGUGAACCCUUUAUGUGUUCUCAACAGGGCCCGCAUUAGCUGAUGGCUUCUUUACAACCAAUUCUUACUCUCCAUGAUUCUGCUCAUUAUAAGAGGAUAUUGGCUAAUUCUUUACUAGACAGGGAUUCCUUUAAGGCUGGAGUGUCCAAUGAGGAUGCCUUUGGGCCACACUCCUAAAGUCACUCCAGAAAUGCCUGUUGACCUUGGAGAAUUCAGGGUGGUUGAGUAGUGGAAGGGUGUGUGAGGCCCUUGUAGCCCUUUAUGUCCCCCAGGACCUAGCUUAAAAUGAAUGCCUGAGCUGGUAGUGUGUUUCUCCUUCUCUCUCAACACAAGUGUGCACGUCACCAUUUGUGUGACAAAAGCACAAUGGUAGGCGCCCUGCCAGCUGACAAGCACAGGACUUUCAAUCUAAGUUUCUUGGAAAACAACAAAAGAAGGUAUGUAAUAGGAGAGUUCAGGGAGCCAUGCUAUGGGCUGGGGGAAGGUUGCUGAGAAAUUAGCAAAUCUUUCUGCCUCUGAGCAGUGCAGAGC